rnacentral:lncRNA from 1 species
UUUCUAUUUUGUUAUUUUUCCUUUUCUUCUCUCCAUAUUUUUUCUUAUUCUUUUAAAAUUUGUUUCUUUAUUUUUUAGUUGUAUUUUCUUAUCUUUUUCUUUGUUCUUUCUUCCUUUUUCUCAUAUGAUGGCCUUUCCAUGGGUGUGUGGAGCCUGAGAGUCAUUCUCUACCUGAUGACCACUGGUCCCUGCCUUUUGUGGGAGAGGACUUUGAGGAGCCGCAGGAUCCUCUCUCCCUUCACUUUACAUACAGUAUGAAGAUCCUGAGCUCCGUAGAGCCCUAUGAGAUGGUGCAGGAGAUGAGCCAGGUGACUCAAGCAGCUGCACAUGGGAGCGACGCAACCAGCACAAUUUGCUGUGUGUACAGGGCAUGCCCUGCUGAGAGGGAUUUUGUAGAGAAGGAAUACAGGGAUGGUUUUCAUAAAUUACUUGACUUCAUUUCUUCCAAAUCUUGUAAUGAAAUUGAUGCUCCAGGAAGACACACCAUUAUUCUGCUGUUUUGCAUCCUUCCUGCCCAGAAAUGGGGCUGUGGGUACUCCAGUUUGAAAAGCAUGUAGUAGUACAGCACUUGGAGUUAAUCAGAAAAAGUAAAGAAAAAAAUGACUUAAGAGAAUUAUCAUGAUCCCCAUCAAAAGCAGCUAAUUAUUCAAAGUAGCAACUGAAGGAUUUUUAUAAAGGGAUAUUAAAAGUGGUUCUGAACAGAUACGUCUGUAUUUGUCAGGCUUCUCCAGAGAAACAGACCCAGUAGGAGAUAUGUAUAUAUAUGAAAGAACAGAUUUACUAUGGAAAUUGGCUCACACAGUUAUAGAGCCUGAGAAGUCCCACGGUAUGCAAGCUGGAGAACCAGGAAAGCCAGUAGUGUAAUUCAGUCCAAGUUCAAAUGCCUAAGAACGAGGGGAGCUGAUGGUGUAGCUCUAACUGGAGGCUGAAGGCCUGAGGGGAGUUUGAGGGACAACCAGGGGCUCCAAUGUCUGAAUACCAUAGAAGAUGGACAUCCCAGCUUCAGAAGAGAAAGAAUUCACCCUUCCUCCACCUUCUUGUUCCAUAUGGACCCUCAUUGGAUUGGAUGAUGCCUUCCCACAUGGAGAGAGAGAGAUCUUCUUUGCUCUGGCUGAUUCAAAUGCUGUCUCUUCUGGAAACCCUUUACAGACACACCUAGAAAUAAUGUUUCACCAGCUCUUUGGACAUCCCUUAUCCCAGUCAAGUUGACACAUACAAUUAAACAUCAUAAGCUCUGAGCCUUACUGCAGGGCAGAAAUGCAGAAAUUGUGUGCA